AGGUGAUUUGUGGAGCCUAUUUUUUUUAACACUGCUUCUUGCCAUACAAGUGUCAAUAAAAGUUCACCCACUCUAGUUGGUAACAAAUAAGACAGGAGAGUCACAAACACAUCUCACUUGUUGAAAUUCUUCUGAUCAUACGUGUAACAAAAAAAAAAAAAAAAAAGGUAACCACUGUAAAGUCACAUGCUUGUCCAUGCCUCCAUUUAUUCCUCUUCGCUUUACGCUCUUUAUGCACGUUGGGGUUCUCAUCCUUAGGAGUUAUUCCUUGACAGCGUCACCAGAGGUUUUCUUCGCAAGUUGCAGCCGGUAUUUUUUUUAAAGGUGUGAAGAGACGCCUUGCGUUGAGAAUUGACGGCGCUGCAAACCAUCUCAUGACUUCCAGUCAAACUGCAACUGUCAGGAGGCCUCUUCUGAGAAGUAGCUGCCUCUUUCUCGCUGUCACUCUCGGCCUCCGCACUCAACCGUCUUCAUUGACAGACAUGGGAUGGAGAGAAGCUCCAAAGAGUUGGGGGGUUUUCUUGGUGUGAUCUCCGAUAAGACACAUUGCUUUUUCACGCAUACACACGCGAUGCAAGCACGCGACAGCAGCUCUUGCGGGGUGCAGUUAUUGUUGUUGUGCUUGCUUGUCAUAAUGAGGGUUGGAUCCGCACGGCAAAGCAAAGCGAGCCUACCUGUCAUGCUGGUGUUAGCACGUGUUGUUUUCCAUUGCUGUUUUAUUUUUGACGUCAGCAGCAGUCACGCAUGCUGACGGCUGCACUGCAAUUUGGCAUGACAUUUUGUAUAUCUGUUCACCUCGUCCCACUCGCUGACAGCAAAACACUGCGCCUACCUAUCAGCACUUUUUAAUUGCCUUCAAAUAGCAACAUUGUUAAAAGAAAAAAAAUAUAUACAAAUCGGCGUGCAUGAGUUGUGUUUCUAAACAGUAUUCCAUUUCAUUGUAAAAAAAAAAAAAAGAUGUCUUUAAUUGAUUAAACUUGGAAUUCAAACCCUGAACCACCGAAUUGUGAAGCAGAUUUGCUCACAAGGGCAUAAAAUCAUAUUGUGUGUUAUUUUGUAGAACUGUA